rnacentral:rRNA from 1 species
UACAGAGGUCUCGAGCGUUGUUCGGAUUCAUUGGGCGUAAAGGGCGCGUAGGCGGCGGGGUAAGUCUGGUGUGAAAUCUAGGAGCUCAACUCCGAAACUGCAUUCGAUACUGCCGUGCUUGAGGACUGGAGAGGAGACUGGAAUUUACGGUGUAGCGGUGAAAUGCGUAGAUAUCGUAAGGAAGACCAGUGGCGAAGGCGGGUCUCUGGACAGUUCCUGACGCUGAGGCACGAAGGUCAGGGGAGCAAACGGG